rnacentral:misc_RNA from 1 species
UUUAAAAUCAUAGUUCUUAUUGGCGUAAAGAUUCGUCUUUCUAAACCUCUAUCUGCAGGUUGUUCAUUCCUGUUUUCCAUGCAACCGAUUUGAAAUCACUGAGUUAGGUUGCUUAGAUUGGUUAAAUCAAUCCUCAACUUUUUAAAUACAUUAUGAGAGGCCCAUCUGGCUAUACUGUUCACAUGUAGAGGUUGAAAAUUUCUUAACCUUACAAAGAUGAAGACAAACAAGAAAUAAUUUAAUUAUUAUCUUUGCAACAAUCUGCUUCUGCUUGCUCAAAAGAUAAAUGAACAAAAACAACCAAAAGGAUAGAGGACAGAGAAAUGGGACAAAGAACAAGUUGUUGUUGAUUCUCUUGCCAUGCAUUUCUAUAACCCUCCCGCUUGUUUCUGUAAAACAAUCGUUUAGCUAUAGAUUUUUUGCAAUGAAGAACUGCCUCAUAAAUUGAGCUCUCAAUCUCACUCCGAUCAGUCGUAGAAUAAGUUAUGCCUGGAGAUGCUUGUGGCAAAUUGCUCCAACUCUUAACUUGCCUUGCUCUUCUAUCAAUAUCAUCAAUUCUUGUACUUUUUAUUAAGCCAGAUACUCUAAGGCACAAAGGUCUCAGAAAUCCAAAACACUUCUGCAAGAUUCGCUGUGGUGAUUUUCUCCAUUUUUUUAAAAUAUGACGCUGAAUAUCAACACUUGGAACAACAGCACUAGAGGAAAAUGAAGAAUGCAUCUGAUAAGCUAAAUCCAGGGAAUUGUAGAUCUCUAUCUUUGAUUGGCUGAUGAAAACAGGCUUGAUGAGGUCGUUAGAGAAAAUCUGAUCAUCAUCAACAACAGCAUCAGGGUAUUGAGAAUUGGGAACAUCAAAAUUGAAGUUCUGGACUUCUUCCAGAGAUCUCUUAGGCUUUGGAAUCUUGUAUUCUAUCUCUUCUGAGGUAGAAUUGUCAAGAGAUGCUCUAAGGAGCUCCUGAAGGCCAUCUGAAGAAGAACUUAUAUUUGUUAACCGUGUGAGAAACUUUCAAUGGCCAGAGGUUGUGAGGAUUCCAUGGGUUGAUAGAAAUUGUUAAUGUGAGGAUCAUUGAGGACUUAAACCCUACAUAUUCUUGAACAGACAAGAAUCAUGUGAUUGGUGACUUAAGAGUGACCACAAGUGCAUAAAUUGUCUAUUCUAUCAAGGUCAUGCAGGAGAGACAAAUGGAACGAGAUAAAUAAGCAAGCAGAUAGACAUUACUCUCUAUUUUGUUUUUAGUCUUUCUCUUAUCUAGUUUAUGAGCAUAGUUAUAUUUAAAUUUUGCUUGAGUUAAUGCUAUUUAAUUUGAUAAUAAAAUCCUUAAACACCUUUGGUCAUGGAAACUCAAUAAUGUUACAAA